GUCUAAGGCGAAUAGGCCCUGAACGCGCCCUAUCUCAUCUGAUCUCGGAAGCUAAGGCAGGGUCGGGGCCUGGUUAGGUACUUGGGUGGGAGACCGCCUGGGUAUACCGGGUGCUGUAGGCU
rnacentral:rRNA from 1 species